AACGAACGCUGGCGGCAGGCUUAACACAUGCAAGUCGAACGCCCCGCAAGGGGAGUGGCAGACGGGUGAGUAACGCGUGGGAACUUACCCUUUCCUGCGGAAUAGCUCUGGGAAACUGGAAUUAAUACCGCAUACGCCCUACGGGGGAAAGAUUUAUCGGGGAAGGAUUGGCCCGCGUUGGAUUAGCUAGUUGGUGGGGUAAAGGCCUACCAAGGCGACGAUCCAUAGCUGGUCUGAGAGGAUGAUCAGCCACAUUGGGACUGAGACACGGCCCAAACUCCUACGGGAGGCAGCAGUGGGGAAUAUUGGACAAUGGGCGCAAGCCUGAUCCAGCCAUGCCGCGUGAGUGAUGAAGGCCUUAGGGUUGUAAAGCUCUUUCACCGAUGAAGAUAAUGACGGUAGUCGGAGAAGAAGCCCCGGCUAACUUCGUGCCAGCAGCCGCCGUAAGAC
rnacentral:rRNA from 1 species